rnacentral:rRNA from 1 species
UCGGGAGGCCCAGAGUAGGGAAUCUUCCGCAAUGGACGAAAGUCUGACGGAGCAACGCCGCGUGAGUGAUGAAGGUUUUCGGAUCGUAAAGCUCUGUUGUUAGGGAAGAACAAGUACCGUUCGAAUAGGGCGGUACCUUGACGGUACCUAACCAGAAAGCCACGGCUAACUACGUGCCAGCAGCCGCGGUAAUACGUAGGUGGCAAGCGUUGUCCGGAAUUAUUGGGCGUAAAGGGCUCGCAGGCGGUUUCUUAAGUCUGAUGUGAAAGCCCCCGGCUCAACCGGGGAGGGUCAUUGGAAACUGGGGAACUUGAGUGCAGAAGAGGAGAGUGGAAUUCCACGUGUAGCGGUGAAAUGCGUAGAGAUGUGGAGGAACACCAGUGGCGAAGGCGACUCUCUGGUCUGUAACUGACGCUGAGGAGCGAAAGCGUGGGGAGCGAACAGGAUUAGAUACCCUGGUAGUCCACGCCGUAAACGAUGAGUGCUAAGUGUUAGGGGGUUCCGCCCAUUAGUGAAAACG